rnacentral:rRNA from 1 species
GAGUUUGAUCCUGGCUCAGGACGAACGCUGGCGGCGUGCCUAACACAUGCAAGUCGAACGGUUCAGGAGGCAAGAAACGAGAAGCGCGAGGCAAGAGAACAAGAGGGAUUGGUUUUUGGCCAGUUUCAGCUAAGGAGAUUUGCUUCAUGCGUCUGGUUUCUUGUCUCCUGGAUAGUGGCGGACGGGUGAGUAACGCGUGGGUAACCUGCCUAUCAGAAAGGGAUAACACCGGGAAGCUGAUGUUAAUACCAGAUACGCUUUAGAGGAGGCAUCUUCUUUAAAGGAAAGGACAACCGCUGAUAGAUGGGCCCGCGUCCCAUUAGCUAGUUGGUAGGGUAGAGGCCUACCAAGGCGACGAUGGGUAGCCGGCCUGAGAGGGUGAACGGCCACACUGGGACUGAGACACGGUCCAGACUCCUACGGGAGGCAGCAGUGGGGAAUAUUGCACAAUGGGGGAAACCCUGAUGCAGCAACGCCGCGUGAGCGAAGAAGGCCUUUGGGUCGUAAAGCUCUGUCCUAAGGGAAGAACAAAUGACGGUACCUUAGGAGGAAGCCCCGGCUAACUACGUGCCAGCAGCCGCGGUAAUACGUAGGGGGCAAGCGUUAUCCGGAAUCAUUGGGCGUAAAGGGUGCGUAGGCGGUCAAUAAAGUCAAGGGUGAAAGGCUACGGCUUAACCGUAGUAAGCCUAUGAAACUUAAUGACUUGAGUGCAGGAGAGGUAAGUGGAAUUCCUAGUGUAGCGGUGAAAUGCGUAGAUAUUAGGAGGAACACCAGUGGCGAAGGCGACUUACUGGACUGUAACUGACGCUGAGGCACGAAAGCGUGGGGAGCGAACAGGAUUAGAUACCCUGGUAGUCCACGCCGUAAACGAUGAGUGCUAGGUGUCGGAGUCUGACAGACUUCGGUGCCGCAGCUAACGCAUUAAGCACUCCGCCUGGGGAGUACGCUCGCAAGAGUGAAACUCAAAGGAAUUGACGGGGACCCGCACAAGCAGCGGAGCAUGUGGUUUAAUUCGAAGCAACGCGAAGAACCUUACCAGGACUUGACAUCCCUGUGACCGGACCGUAACGGGACCUUUCCCUUCGGGGACACAGGAGACAGGUGGUGCAUGGUUGUCGUCAGCUUCGUGUCGUGAGAUGUUGGGUUAAGUCCCGCAACGAGCGCAACCCUUGUCUUUAGUUGCCAGCAAGUAAAGUUGGGCACUCUAGAGAGACUGCCGGGGAUAACUCGGAGGAAGGUGGGGAUGACGUCAAAUCAUCAUGCCCCUUAUGUUCUGGGCUACACACGUGCUACAAUGGCUGGUACAACGGGAAGCGAAAGAGUAAUCUGGAGCAAAUCCUAAAAGCCAGUCUCAGUUCGGAUUGUGGGCUGCAACUCGCCCACAUGAAGUCGGAGUUGCUAGUAAUCGCGGAUCAGAAUGUCGCGGUGAAUGCGUUCCCGGGUCUUGUACACACCGCCCGUCACACCAUGGAAGUUGGGGGCACCCGAAGUCAGCUAUCUAACGAAAGAGGAGGCUGCCGAAGGUGAAAUCAAUGACUGGGGUGAAGUCGUAACAAGGUAGCCGUAUCGGAAGGUGCGGCUGGAUCACCUCCUUUCUAAUCGAAUUCCCGCGGCCG